rnacentral:rRNA from 1 species
GUGGGGAAUCUUCCGCAAUGGACGAAAGUCUGACGGAGCAACGCCGCGUGAGUGAUGAAGGUCUUCGGAUUGUAAAGCUCUGUUAAUCGGGACGAAAGAGCCUAGUGUGAAUAAUGCUAGGAAGUGACGGUACCGGAAUAGAAAGCCACGGCUAACUACGUGCCAGCAGCCGCGGUAAUACGUAGGUGGCAAGCGUUGUCCGGAAUUAUUGGGCGUAAAGCGCGCGCAGGCGGAUCUGCCAGUCUGUCUUAAAAGUUCGGGGCUUAACCCCAGGAUGGGAUGUAAACUACAGAUCGAGGGGAUCGGAGAGGAAAGUGGAAUUCCUAGUGUAGCGGUGAAAUGCGUAGAUAUUAGGAGGAACACCAGUGGCGAAGGCGGCUAUCUGGACAGUAACUGACGCUGAGGCGCGAAAGCGUGGGGAGCAAACAGGAUUAGAAACCCCUGUAGUCC